rnacentral:rRNA from 1 species
AACGAACGCUGGCGGCAUGCCUAACACAUGCAAGUCGAACGAGACCUUCGGGUCUAGUGGCGCACGGGUGCGUAACACGUGGGAAUCUGCCCUUGGGUUCGGAAUAACACAGAGAAAUUUGUGCUAAUACCGGAUGAUGACGAAAGUCCAAAGAUUUAUCGCCCAAGGAUGAGCCCGCGUAGGAUUAGCUAGUUGGUGGGGUAAUGGCCCACCAAGGCGACGAUCCUUAGCUGGUCUGAGAGGAUGAUCAGCCACACUGGGACUGAGACACGGCCCAGACUCCUACGGGAGGCAGCAGUGGGGAAUAUUGGACAAUGGGCGAAAGCCUGAUCCAGCAAUGCCGCGUGAGUGAUGAAGGCCUUAGGGUUGUAAAGCUCUUUUACCAGGGAUGAUAAUGACAGUACCUGGAGAAUAAGCUCCGGCUAACUCCGUGCCAGCAGCCGCGGUAAAAC